CGGACAGCAAUAUAGAGGUCAGGCUGAAGACUUACCCGAUUAGCUGAGAGGUGGUGCAUGGCCGUCGUCAGUUCGUACUGUGAAGCAUCCUGUUAAGUCAGGCAACGAGCGAGACCCACGUCCACAGUUGCCAGCAUACCCUCCGGGGUGAUGGGUACACUGUGGAGACCGCCGCUGCUAAAGCGGAGGAAGGAGUGGGCAACGGUAGGUCAGUAUGCCCCGAAUCUCCCGGGCUACACGCGGGCUACAAUGGUUGGUACAAUGGGCAUCUACCCCGAAAGGGGAAGGAAAUCUCUUAAAGCCAAUCGUAGUUCGGAUUGAGGGCUGCAACUCGCCCUCAUGAAGCUGGAAUCCGUAGUAAUCGCGUUUCAACAGAACGCGGUGAAUACGUCCCUGCUCCUU
rnacentral:rRNA from 1 species